rnacentral:rRNA from 1 species
UGGGGAAUUUUGGACAAUGGGGGAAACCCUGAUCCAGCCAUCCCGCGUGUGCGAUGAAGGCCUUCGGGUUGUAAAGCACUUUUGGCAGGAAAGAAACGUCGCGGGUUAAUACCCCGCNAAACUGACGGUACCUGCAGAAUAAGCACCGGCUAACUACGUGCCAGCAGCCGCGGUAAUACGUAGGGUGCAAGCGUUAAUCGGAAUUACUGGGCGUAAAGCGUGCGCAGGCGGUUCGGAAAGAAAAGAUGUGAAAUCCCAGAGCUUAACUUUGGAACUGCAUUUUUUAAACUACCGGGCUAGAGUGUGUCAGAGGGAGGUGGAAUUCCGCGUGUAGCAGUGAAAAUGCGUAGAUAUGCGGAGGAACACCGAUGGCGAAGGCAGCCUCCUGGGAUAACACUGACGCUCAUGCACGAAAAGCGUGGGGAGCAAACAGGAUUAGAUACCCUGGUAGUCCACGCCCUAAACGAUGUCAAACUAGCUGUUGGGGCCUUCGGGCCUUGGUGCGCAGCUAACGCGUGAAGUUACCGCCU